rnacentral:rRNA from 1 species
AGAGGGUGCAAGCGUUAAUCGGAAUGACUGGGCGUAAAGGGCGCGUAGGUUGUUGUAUAAGUUGUGUGUAAAAUCCCCGGGCUCAACCUGGGGCUGCCACGCAAAACUGUACAACUAGAGAGCAGGAGAGGGAAGUGGAAUUUCCGGUGUAGCGGUGAAAUGCGUAGAUAUCGGAAGGAACACCUGAGGCGAAGGCGACUUUCUGGCCUGCACCUGACACUGAGGCGCGAAAGCGUGGGUAGCAAACAGGGAUUAGAUACCCUGGUAGUCCACGCCGUAAACGAUGAAAACUAGCCCGUUGGGAACCCAUAGGUUUUCAGUGGCGCAGCUAACGCAUUAAGUUUUCCGCCUGGGGAGUACGGCCGCAAGGCUA